rnacentral:lncRNA from 1 species
CCCCACCUCUCGCGCGACGUCACGCGGCCGGGCCGGGCGGUGGCGGCGCGCGGGGAUGGAGCGGCUGCCGCUCGGCCGGUCUUUCUCCUCUACAAAGAAGCUUUGUUGCCAAGACUUACUCUGAAAAUGACCUAGAGUACCUACUGCAGAUGCCUGCAAGUGUAGAAGCUGAUAAAUCAUAUCUUCUUCCCUCCCCUGACUUUCCUGUUUCCUCUGGAAUUUAUACUUCUAAAUUUUUUUAAAGUUAAACGUCUGUUGAUGGCAUUUGAAUUACAACUGUGAGCAUACUUAUGCAAAGAGACAAGCUAUCCUGAGCACUUUUGAGGUAUGUAUGCCUUCUGUGAUUUAGAACACAUGGAAGGGGAAGCCAUCUGAUUGGGGCAAAGAGAGUUCUAGGUGUACAUAUUCUAGAUUUAGGCUGAUGUGCACUGUUUUGUAUGGUUUUAGCAGCAGAAUAUACAUAUACACAGUGAGGCUGUAGGAGCACCAGCUGGCAUUGUAUGGAGGGUGACCUUGGUUGAACCUACUGUGGGAGUACUCAAAAGAUUGUAUUUAGAAAAGCUGUAUCCACUACCCAUUCAGUUCCUAAAUACCACCAUGGUCUGCAGAAAUUUUCUUCUUCAAAGUGCAUGUGUUGUUGAAAUGCGCCUGGGAGGCCAUGGUGGUUGCUCUAUUUGCUAAGGUAAAGCACUC